GACGAACGCUGGCGGCGUGCCUAACACAUGCAAGUCGAGCGAGUGGAGUUCUUCGGAACAAAGCUAGCGGCGGACGGGUGAGUAACACGUGGGCAACCUGCCUCAUAGAGGGGAAUAGCCUCCCGAAAGGGAGAUUAAUACCGCAUAAGAUUGUAGCUUCGCAUGAAGUAGCAAUUAAAGGAGCAAUCCGCUAUGAGAUGGGCCCGCGGCGCAUUAGCUAGUUGGUGAGGUAACGACUCACCAAGGCGACGAUGCGUAGCCGACCUGAGAGGGUGAUCGGCCACAUUGGGACUGAGACACGGCCCAGACUCCUACGGGAGGCAGCAGUGGAGAAUAUUGCACAAUGGGGGAAACCCUGAUGCAGCAACGCCGCGUGAGUGAUGACGGCCUUCGGGUUGUAAAGCUCUGUCUUCAGGGACGAUAAUGACGGUACCUGAGGAGGAAGCCACGGCUAACUACGUGCCAGCCGCCGCAGUAA
rnacentral:rRNA from 1 species